rnacentral:rRNA from 1 species
AGAUUGAACGCUGGCGGCAUGCCUUACACAUGCAAGUCGAACGGCAGCGCGGGAGCAAUCCUGGUGGCGAGUGGCGAACGGGUGAGUAAUAUAUCGGAACGUGCCCAGUAAUGGGGGGAUAGCCCGGCGAAAGCCGGAUUAAUACCGCAUACGACCUACGGGUGAAAGCGGGGGAUCGCAAGACCUCGCGUUAUUGGAGCGGCCGAUAUCAGAUUAGCUUGUUGGUGGGGUAAAAGCCUACCAAGGCGACGAUCUGUAGCUGGUCUGAGAGGACGACCAGCCACACUGGGACUGAGACACGGCCCAGACUCCUACGGGAGGCAGCAGUGGGGAAUUUUGGACAAUGGGCGAAAGCCUGAUCCAGCCAUGCCGCGUGUGGGAAGAGGCCUUCGGGUUGUAACCUACUUUGUCGAGGAAGAACGGCCCGUACUAACUAUUAGGACUAAGUAGACGGUACUAGAAGAAGUAAGACGACCGGACUAACGUACGUCGAC